GAUGAAGAACGUAGCGAAAUGCGAUAAGUAGUGUGAAUUGCAGAAUUCAGUGAAUCAUCGAAUCUUUGAACGCACAUUGUGCCCCUUGGUAUUCCAUGGGGCAUGCCUGUUCGAGCGUCAUUUGUACCUUCAAGCUUUGCUUGGUGUUGGGUGUUUGUCUCGCCUCUGCGUGUAGACUCGCCUUAAAACAAUUGGCAGCCGGCGUAUUGAUUUCGGAGCACAGUACAUCUCGCGCUUUGCACUCAUAACGACGACGUCCAAAAGUACAUUUUUACACUCUUGACCUCGGAUCAGGUAGGGAUACCCGCUGAACUUAAGCAUAUCAAUAAGCGGAGGA
rnacentral:misc_RNA from 1 species